AAUAUUGGACAAUGGGGGCAACCCUGAUGCAGCAACGCCGCGUGAGUGAAGAAGGUUUUCGGAUCGUAAAGCUCUGUCCUUGGGGAAGAAGGUCUUCGGACUUGACGGUACCUAAGGAGGAAGCCCCGGCUAACUACGUGCCAGCAGCCGCGGUAAUACGUAGGGGGCAAGCGUUGUCCGGAAUUAUUGGGCGUAAAGGGUGCGUAGGCGGCCUUUUAAGUCAGAUGUGAAAGCCCACGGCUUAACCGUGGGGUUGCAUUUGAAACUGGAAGGCUUGAGUAUCGGAGAGGGUAGUGGAAUUCCCAGUGUAGCGGUGAAAUGCGUAGAUAUUGGGAGGAACACCAGUGGCGAAGGCGACUACCUGGACGAAAACUGACGCUGAUGCACGAAAGCUAGGGGAGCAAACA
rnacentral:rRNA from 1 species